GCAGAGAGAGGAGAGAGAAGCAGAGAGAAGCAGAGAGACAGAGGGAGGCAGAGAGAGAGAGGGAAGCAGAGAGACAGAGUGAGGCAGAGAGACAGAGAGAAGCAGAGAGACAGAGAGAAGCAGAGAGAGCCACAGAAGCAAUGGAGUACUAGAGAAAACUGCAGGAGAUCCACAGACUCAAACAACUGCUGGAUCUACUGAUGGUGGACCUACAACUGGCCCACAGAGAGAGAGAAGAUAAUAGAGGCAACGAAAAGAGAUGAGAUGGCAGAAGAGGAAAGAAGGGAGAUCCUUGAGAAGAGGGGUGAGUUAGAGGACACUGAAGAGGAGGAGGAGAAGGACGAUGACAAGGAGGACAUUCUCCCACCCGAUAAAAGUAUCCGAAGGAGAGCUGUGGGCUGGGUAAACAAGAAGUGGGAGAAGAGGAACCUCAGAAAGAUAGAGAGAACGUAUCAGAGAGAGGCUGAGGAGGGCUAUAAGAUCGUCCACAUAGGUCAUCCCUGGACCCAUAAGGCUAACCAUGACCCGGGCAGAGAGAGAGAGGAAGGAGCUCCUGAAGACAGAGGAGAGAAGGAAUAAGAUGGAGGAUUGCAGUGGAGAGAGCAGUCCCUGCUUAAUAAACGGACUCAUCAGAAACUUAAAGAGGAGAGGGAGAGGAUGAAGGAACAGUACCUAAAAAAACAAGCAAGAGAUUUAAGAUGGGAGGAGUCAACUAUACACAUCUAUUUUAGACCAUAGACCUUGUUCCACCCUAUAAAAGUAUCCGAAGGAGAGCUGUGGCCUAAGAAGUGGGAGAAGAGGAACCUCAAAAAGAUAGAGAACAUAUCAGAGAGAGGCUGAGGAGGGCUAUAAGAUCAUCAACAAAGUCCAAACGUAAUUACCAUGGAUUGGAGGGAAGAGGUCUGUGAACCAAUAUCUGAAGUUUUAGGGAAGCAUUUUUCAGGCAAUUGUAUGCGAUGCAGUUUUAAGACGGUUCCUUAACCCUCUGAACAGAGGAUGGCACAUUUUUAGCUACAUUUCACCUCCAAAAAGUGAAUGACACCGAAUGGAACAGUAGGUUAACUGCCUUAUCCAGUUGUCUUGAAAGAACCAUAAAUCCAGAGAAUGACAGACUUUGAUGCCAAACCGCCGCUACACCUUCCUGUUCAAGUGAGCACAACACAACAAGCUCUAGGCAGACAGCACGUCAGGAAUGCUGUAAGACAUCACAGAGACAGGUAAGUAUCUAUAUAUUUACAUGUGUGUUGCAUGUACACUAAACCCUCACAUUUGGAUAAUGUCACUUUUUAAAGUGAUGACAUGUAUAUUAACAGUGUAAAACAUGAAUAGAUGUUUAAACAUUCUUUACCCCAUCCUAAUUUUCUUCCAGAUGCUUGGCUUUUUCUUUGUCUUUGUGUUGGAGAUUGGCUCUGAUGUUUCAGCCUCUUCUGGAGCUUCUAGCUGCUGGCUGUCUG